rnacentral:rRNA from 1 species
AAAGAUUAAGCCAUGCAUGUCUAAGUAUAAGCAAUUAUACCGUGAAACUGCGAAUGGCUCAUUAAAUCAGUAUCGUUUAUUGAUAGUAACCUUACUACUUGGAUAACCGUGGUAAUUCUAGAGCUAAUACAUGCUAAAAACCCCGACUUCGGGAGGGGUGUAUUUAUUAGAUAAAAAACCAAUGCCCUUUCGGGGCUCUUUGGUGAUUCAUGAUAACUUAACGGAUCGCAUGGCCUUGCGCCGGCGACGGUUCAUUCAAAUUUCUGCCCUAUCAACUUUCGAUGGUAAGGUAUUGGCUUACCAUGGUUUCAACGGGUAACGGGGAAUUAGGGUUCGAUUCCGGAGAGGGAGCCUGAGAAACGGCUACCACAUCCAAGGAAGGCAGCAGGCGCGCAAAUUACCCAAUCCCGACACGGGGAGGUAGUGACAAUAAAUACUGAUACAGGGCUCUUUUGGGUCUUGUAAUCGGAAUGAGUACAAUUUAAACCCCUUAACGAGGAACAAUUGGAGGGCAAGUCUGGUGCCAGCAGCCGCGGUAAUUCCAGCUCCAAUAGCGUAUAUUAAAGUUGUUGCAGUUAAAAAGCUCGUAGUUGAACCUUGGGCCUGGCUGGCCGGUCCGCCUCACCGCGUGUACUGGUCCGGCCGGGCCUUUCCUUCUGGAGAGCCGCAUGCCCUUCACUGGGUGUGCCGGGGAACCAGGACUUUUACUUUGAAAAAAUUAGAGUGUUCAAAGCAGGCCUUUGCUCGAAUACGUUAGCAUGGAAUAAUAGAAUAGGACGUGCGAUCCUAUUUUGUUGGUUUCUAGGACCGCCGUAAUGAUUAAUAGGGAUAGUCGGGGGCAUCAGUAUUCAAUUGUCAGAGGUGAAAUUCUUGGAUUUAUUGAAGACUAACUACUGCGAAAGCAUUUGCCAAGGAUGUUUUCAUUAAUCAGUGAACGAAAGUUAGGGGAUCGAAGACGAUCAGAUACCGUCGUAGUCUUAACCGUAAACUAUGCCGACUAGGGAUCGGGCGAUGUUUUCAUCUUGACUCGCUC